CUGCAUUCUUAACCCUCCUGGCAGCUCCGUUAUUAGCUUCCAGGAUAAGAAUGAAUGCCAGAGAAAACUGUUGAUUAAUCCAAGAUGUGGAGCUCUUUUCUCGUGGCUCUUCGUUAUUUCACGUCUUCAACAUUU
rnacentral:snoRNA from 1 species